UACGGAGGGGGCUAGCGUUGUUCGGAAUUACUGGGCGUAAAGCGCACGUAGGCGGUUUUCUAAGUCAGAGGUGAAAGCCCGGAGCUCAACUCCGGAAUUGCCUUUGAGACUGGAUCACUUGAACGUCGGAGAGGUGAGUGGAAUUCCGAGUGUAGAGGUGAAAUUCGUAGAUAUUCGGAAGAACACCAGUGGCGAAGGCGGCUCACUGGACGACUGUUGACGCUGAGGUGCGAAAGCGUGGGGAGCAAACAGG
rnacentral:rRNA from 1 species